rnacentral:misc_RNA from 1 species
AAGUCGUAACAAGGUUUCCGCAGGUGAACCUGCGGAAGGAUCAUUAACACGUAUAAAACGUUAAACAACCCUGUGAACCUUGAACGUGCUCCUGCAGCCCCAUCCCUGAGUACCGAGCGCGGUGUAAGCGACCUGGCAUCCCCAAGCGAUCAGUGUCUGAAAGUGUCAUUGAUUGUGUAAGGAUGGCGCAGUAAACGAUUGCUAGAGGCCCACACGGCCGGCAACCGGGUCCCAGGGCUACCCCACUGUUUCCGGCUGGGCAGCCGAUAAUACGCCGUAAAAAACUGAACAACUGUUAACAAUGGAUAUCUUGGUUCUC